ACACAGGAGGUUUGAUGGUUUGGUCGCCUCCACCUGAAGCUGUUAUAGGUUAAAGCUCGUCCUCUGUGGGGGUUCAGACAGAACGGAGGUGAGACUGUUUCAAAACGGAAGCCACAUAAAGUUUCCGUUUUAGCAAGAGAGCAACAGUGAGAGGAGAAGAGAAGAGAAGCAGCUGUGAGGAGUGAAGCUGCAGUCGUCUGUCAGAAGUCAUCCACAAGAGGAACAAGCGACAGAUCACCAACCACAGUCUGUUCACCCUGCUGCAUCAUGGCAACAGAUCCAGACCACCAGGAUUCAGCAGUCUGUCUUUGAAGAGUUAUCGCUCCACUGGAUAUGCUCUACUGUUCAUGACUAAACCUCUGGCACACAGAGAUUUCUUCCAAAGCCAAAGAAGAGUCUGUGGUCACUAUGACGAGUGA
rnacentral:lncRNA from 1 species